GUCUGACUCGAGCACAACACGAAAUUCAAGCAUGGCAUGAGUUAAGGAAUAAAAGCAUCAAAAGCAUUUGAUGUUUCACGAUGCAAAAUAACUGUUGGAUCCUUGGUUGCCUUAAUAAUGGGAGCUAAAGUACCAGAUACUCCAACCAUGAAAGAGGAAAA